GAUGAACGCUAGCGGCAGGCUUAACACAUGCAAGUCGAGGGGCAGCGUGGGGCAGCAAUGCUCCGACGGCGACCGGCGGAAGGGUGCGUAACACGUGAGCGACUUGCCCGUCACAGGGGGAUAACCGGCGGAAACGGCGACUAAUACCCCAUAUGAUGUGAUGCUGCAUGGCAUCGCAUUGAAAGAUUCAUCGGUGGCGGAUAGGCUCGCGGGACAUUAGCUAGACGGCGGGGCAACGGCCCACCGUGGCGACGAUCAGUAGCCGGACUGAGAGGUUGACCGGCCACAUUGGGACUGAGAUACGGCCCAG
rnacentral:rRNA from 1 species